UACGGAGGGUCCAAGCGUUAUCCGGAAUCAUUGGGUUUAAAGGGUCCGUAGGCGGUUUAGUAAGUCAGUGGUGAAAGCCCAUCGCUCAACGGUGGAACGGCCAUUGAUACUGCUAAACUUGAAUUAUUGGGAAGUAACUAGAAUAUGUAGUGUAGCGGUGAAAUGCUUAGAGAUUACAUGGAAUACCAAUUGCGAAGGCAGGUUACUACCAAUAUAUUGACGCUGAUGGACGAAAAGCGUGGGGGAGCGAACAGG
rnacentral:rRNA from 1 species